rnacentral:rRNA from 1 species
GACGAACGCUGGCGGCGUGCUUAACACAUGCAAGUCGAACGGAAAGGCCCUGCUUUUGUGGGGUGCUCGAGUGGCGAACGGGUGAGUAACACGUGAGUAACCUGCCCUUGACUUUGGGAUAACUUCAGGAAACUGGGGCUAAUACCGGAUAGGAGCUCCUGCUGCAUGGUGGGGGUUGGAAAGUUUCGGCGGUUGGGGAUGGACUCGCGGCUUAUCAGCUUGUUGGUGGGGUAGUGGCUUACCAAGGCUUUGACGGGUAGCCGGCCUGAGAGGGUGACCGGCCAAAUUGGGACUGAGAUACGGCCAAGACUCCUAAGGGAGGCAGCAGUGGGGAAUAUUGCAAAAUGGGCGGAAGCAUGAUGCAGCAACGCCGCGUGCGGGAUGACGGCCUUCGGGUUGUAAACCGCUUUCGCCUGUGACGAAGCGUGAGUGACGGUAAUGGGUAAAGAAGCACCGGCUAACUACGU